rnacentral:rRNA from 1 species
UUGACCUACGGGGCGCAGCAGUGGGGGAUAUUGCACAAUGGGGGAAUCCCUGAUGCAGCGACGCCGCGUGAGCGAUGAAGUAUUUCGGUAUGUAAAGCUCUAUCAGCAGGGAAGAAAAUGACGGUACCUGACUAAGAAGCCCCGGCUAACUACGUGCCAGCAGCCGCGGUAAUACGUAGGGGGCAAGCGUUAUCCGGAUUUACUUGGUGUAAAGGGAGCGUAGACGGCAGUGCAAGACUGAAGUGAA